UUUGUGGAGGGUUCGAUUCUGGCUCAGGAUGAACGCUGGCGGCGUGCUUAACACAUGCAAGUCGAACGGGAUCCAUCGGGCUUUGCUUGGUGGUG
rnacentral:rRNA from 1 species